CAUGGCGGUAAGGCUGUAGAGGAAACUGGUGUGGGUUAUCACCAGCCUUCUCUAGAAGACUAAUGAAUGCUCCCGUAUCCCAAAACCAUACAAUACAGUGAGUACUCACGUUUGGUUUGUCUUGCCUGUUCGGUGGUUUGAGAUAAAGAGGGCGCUCUCCGUCACUUCGCGGGAUUACAUACGAGCGCACCUCCAGCUCGUGCACGGAGCGAGUUCCUACCAAGGGAGAUCACUCUCCUUGGAUUUUCACUACACUCCUCCCCGUUUUAUGAAGGCCCCCUUCUGGACGUUGGUUCCUCAGGGCGAACAGGUGGAGAGGAGUCGUUCAGGAUGCUCAUGGGUCCAAGGUUAGCCUGUGGGUGUCCGGGUCGAGGAAUCUCCCGUGAGGAACAAGUGGUACGA